AGAUUAAGUUAUUAAGGGCGCACGGUGGAUGCCUUGGCACUAGAAGCCGAUGAAGGACGUUACUAACGACGAUAUGCUUUGGGGAGCUGUAAGUAAGCUUUGAUCCAGAGAUUUCCGAAUGGGGAAACCCAGCAUGAGUUAUGUCAUGUUAUCGAUAUGUGAAUACAUAGCAUAUCAGAAGGCACACCCGGAGAACUGAAACAUCUUAGUACCCGGAGGAAGAGAAAGAAAAUUCGAUUCCCUUAGUAGCGGCGAGCGAAACGGGAAGAGCCCAAACCAACAAGCUUGCUUGUUGGGGUUGUAGGACACUCUAUACGGAGUUACAAAGGACGACAUUAGACGAAUCAUCUGGAAAGAUGAAUCAAAGAAGGUAAUAAUCCUGUAGUCGAAAAUGUUGUCUCUCUUGAGUGGAUCCUGAGUACGACGGAGCACGUGAAAUUCCGUCGGAAUCUGGGAGGACCAUCUCCUAAGGCUAAAUACUCUCUAGUGACCGAUAGUGAACCAGUACCGUGAGGGAAAGGUGAAAAGCACCCCGGAAGGAGAGUGAAAUAGAACCUGAAACCGUGUGCUUACAAGUAGUCAGAGCCCGUUAAUGGGUGAUGGCGUGCCUUUUGUAGAAUGAACCGGCGAGUUACGAUUUGAUGCAAGGUUAAGCAGUAAAUGUGGAGCCGUAGCGAAAGCGAGUCUGAAUAGGGCGUUUAGUAUUUGGUCGUAGACCCGAAACCAGGUGAUCUACCCUUGGUCAGGUUGAAGUUCAGGUAACACUGAAUGGAGGACCGAACCGACUUACGUUGAAAAGUGAGCGGAUGAACUGAGGGUAGCGGAGAAAUUCCAAUCGAACCUGGAGAUAGCUGGUUCUCUCCGAAAUAGCUUUAGGGCUAGCCUCAAGUGAUGAUUAUUGGAGGUAGAGCACUGUUUGGACGAGGGGCCCCUCUCGGG
rnacentral:rRNA from 1 species